rnacentral:rRNA from 1 species
UACGAGGGGGGCAAGCGUUGUUCAGAAUUAUUGGGCGUAAAGGGUGCGUAGGCGGUUUGGUAAGUCUGAUGUGAAAUCUAUGGGCUCAACUCAUAGUCUGCAUCGGAAACUGCCGGGCUUGAGUGUGGGAGAGGUGAGUGGAAUUCCUGGUGUAGCGGUGAAAUGCGUAGAUAUCAGGAGGAACACCUGUGGCGAAAGCGGCUCACUGGACCAUAACUGACGCUGAUGCACGAAAGCUAGGGGAGCAAACAGG